rnacentral:rRNA from 1 species
UACGUAGGUGGCAAGCGUUGUCCGGAUUUACUGGGCGUAAAGAGCGCGCAGGCGGUCGUUCAAGUCGCGUGUGAAAGCCCCCGGCUCAACUGGGGAGGUCACGCGAUACUGAUCGACUCGAAGGCAGGAGAGGGAAGUGGAAUUCCCGGUGUAGUGGUGAAAUGCGUAGAUAUCCGGAGGAACACCAGUGGCGAAGGCGGCAUCCUGGACCAUUACUGACACUGAAAAGCGAAAGC